UAAACUAGGAUUAGAUACCCUAUUAUAAAAAAUGUAAAUUUAAAAUGCUAAAUUAGUAUUAGUUAUGUUCUUGAAAAUUAAAAAAUUUGGCGGUAUUUUAGUCUUUUCAGAGGAACCUGUUCUGUAAUUGAUAGUCCACGAUUAGAUGUACUUUAUUUAUUAGUUUACAUAUCGUCGUAGUUAAAAUAUUUUAAUAGAAUCAUAAUAUUUAAAAUUUUUAAUUAAAAAGUAAAUCAGAUCAAGGUGUAGUUUAUAGUAAAGAAGAAAUGGGUUACAAUAAAUUUAUUUUAAGAUAAUUUUUAUUAUAAAAAUUUGAAUAUGGAUUUGAUAGUAAUUUUAAAAUUUUAUUAAAAUGAUUAUAGCUCUAAAAUAUGUACACAUCGCCCGUCGCUCUUAA
rnacentral:rRNA from 1 species